rnacentral:rRNA from 1 species
CGGACGGGUGAGUAACACGUGGGUAACCUACCUAUAAGACUGGGAUAACUUCGGGAAACCGGAGCUAAUACCGGAUAAUAUUUCGAACCGCAUGGUUCGAUAGUGAAAGAUGGCUCUGCUAUCACUUAUAGAUGGACCUGCGCCGUAUUAGCUAGUUGGUAAGGUAACGGCUUACCAAGGCAACGAUACGUAGCCGACCUGAGAGGGUGAUCGGCCACACUGGAACUGAGACACGGUCCAGACUCCUACGGGAGGCAGCAGUAGGGAAUCUUCCGCAAUGGGCGAAAGCCUGACGGAGCAACGCCGCGUGAGUGAUGAAGGUCUUCGGAUCGUAAAACUCUGUUAUUAGGGAAGAACAAACGUGUAAGUAACUGUGCACGUCUUGACGGUACCUAAUCAGAAAGCCACGGCUAACUACGUGCCAGCAGCCGCGGUAAUACGUAGGUGGCAAGCGUUAUCCGGAAUUAUUGGGCGUAAAGCGCGUGUAGGCGGUUUUUUAAGUCUGAUGUGAAAGCCCACGGCUCAACCGUGGAGGGUCAUUGGAAACUGGAAAACUUGAGUGCAGAAGAGGGAAGUGGAAUUCCAUGUGUAGCGGUGAAAUGCGCAGAGAUAUGGAGGAACACCAGUGGC